UACGUAGGUGGCAAGCGUUGUCCGGAUUUACUGGGCGUAAAGAGCGCGCAGGCGGUCGUUCAAGUCGCGUGUGAAAGCCCCCGGCUCAACUGGGGAGGGUCACGCGAUACUGAUCGACUCGAAGGCAGGAGAGGGAAGUGGAAUUCCCGGUGUAGUGGUGAAAUGCGUAGAGAUCGGCAGGAACACCCAAGGGGAAGCCAGCCGACUGGCCCGCACCUGACACUCAGGGACGACAGCGUGGGGAGCGAACCGG
rnacentral:rRNA from 1 species